rnacentral:rRNA from 1 species
AUUGAACGCUGGCGGCAGGCCUAACACAUGCAAGUCGAACGGCAACACCGGACAGCUUGCUGUUUCGCUGGCGAGUGGCGGACGGGUGAGGAAUGCCUCGGAAUCUGCCCAGUGGUGGGGGAUAACGACUGGAAACUUAAGCUAAUACCGCAUACCACCUCCGGGCGAAAGAGGGGGAUCGCCAGACCUCUCGCGAUUGGAUGAGCCCAGGUCGGAUUAGCUAGUUGGCGGGGUAAUGGCCCACCAAGGCGACGAUCCGUAGCUGGUCUGAGAGGAUGAUCAGCCACACUGGAACUGAGACACGGUCCAGACUCCUACGGGAGGCAGCAGUGGGGAAUAUUGGACAAUGGGCGCAAGCCUGAUCCAGCCAUACCGCGUGUGUGAAGAAGGCCUUCGGGUUGUAAAGCCCUUUUGUUGGGAAAGAAAGGUGUCAGGCUAAUACCCUGGGAGGAUGACGGUACCCAAAGAAGAAGCACCGGCUAACUUCGUG